rnacentral:lncRNA from 1 species
CACGCCAUCUUUGAAUGCUGCCCGUUACCAUGGCAACCAGAUGGAGGGUUCUGAGACACCAGAAAUUAAAACUUUGGAUGAUAUUAGGGAUGAUAAAAAUAAGUUCUGGGUAUGAAAGUUUCUAGACAAAAAUUCUAAAUAAUUUCAAAUUUCAUUGAUUUUUAUAUGAAUAAAUAGCCGAUUUACUCUCGAACAGCAUUAACCUACCUGC